rnacentral:lncRNA from 1 species
AAAACGAGUCUCUGAGGAUGGAAAGCACUGUGGUCUGUGCGUGGACUUGAGGCCGGUGAGAGGAGGGGCCAGAGCCGGGCAGGGAGUGCCGGCCCGCCCAUGUCAUCACUCACUCGCUGCCCACAGCACCCCACCUCAUAGAUACUGUCUACAGAUGACACACUGAGUCCCAGACAGGAGAUGCGGCUUGCCCAAGUCAGGCCUCUGCGAGAAGACAAAGGGGCACUGGAAUCCCCAUCAAAGGCCGCAGGACACAUGGCUUCCAGUGUGUGCAAAGAACUUUCAUGGUUACCCUCCGGUUUCUCCCUCACGACUUCGCUGCCAGAUAAGCAUAUUGUCCCCAUUCUGCAGGGGAGGAAACAG